rfam:Omnitrophica WOR_2 bacterium RIFCSPLOWO2_12_FTLL_51_8 rifcsplowo2_12_scaffold_18211, whole genome shotgun sequence.
GGGCCCAUAGCUCAGCUGGUCAGAGCAGGUGACUCAUAAUCACUUGGUCCGGGGUUCGAAUCCCUGUGGGCCCA